GAUGAAGAACGUAGCGAAAUGCGAUAAGUAGUGUGAAUUGCAGAAUUCCGUGAAUCAUCGAGUCUUUGAACGCACAUUGCGCCCCCUGGUAUUCCGGGGGGCAUGCCUGUCCGAGCGUCAUUGCUGCCCAUCAAGCACGGCUUGUGUGUUGGGUCCUCGUCCCCCCCGGGGGACGUGCCCGAAAGGCAGCGGCGGCACCGCGUCCGGUCCUCGAGCGUAUGGGGCUUUGUCACCCGCUCUGCAGGCCCGGCCGGCGCUGGCCGACGCGAAAGCAACCAUUUUUUCUCCAGGUUGACCUCGGAUCAGGUAGGGAUUCCCGCUGAACUUAAGCAUAUCAAUAAGCGGAGGA
rnacentral:misc_RNA from 1 species